AGCGAACGCUGGCGGCAGGCCUAACACAUGCAAGUCGAACGAAGUCUUCGGACUUAGUGGCGGACGGGUGAGUAACACGUGGGAACGUGCCUUUAGGUUCGGAAUAACCCAGGGAAACUUGUGCUAAUACCGAGUGUGCCCUUCAGGGGAAAGAUUUAUCGCCUUUAGAGCGGCCCGCGUCUGAUUAGCUAGUUGGUGAGGUAAAGGCUCACCAAGGCGACGAUCAGUGGCUGGUCUGAGAGGAUGAUCAGCCACAUUGGGACUGAGACACGGCCCAAACUCCUACGGGAGGCAGCAGUGGGGAAUCUUGCGCAAUGGGCGAAAGCCUGACGCAGCCAUGCCGCGUGAAUGAUGAAGGUCUUAGGAUUGUAAAAUUCUUUCACCGGGGACGAUAAUGACGGUACCCGGAGAAGAAGCCCCGGCUAACUUCGUGCCAGCCGCCGCGGUAAAAC
rnacentral:rRNA from 1 species